rnacentral:tRNA from 1 species
GUAGUGCGUGGCCGAAUUACGCUGUCCGCUUUGUAAGCGGAUGAUUCUGGGUUCGAUUCCCAUCUGCUGCA